AAAGAAAAAGAAAAAAAAAAAGAAAUAAAAGAAAAAGAAAAAAAAGAGAAUGAACUAAAGUAGGUUGUUAAACAACAAAAUGUUACCAACAAGUAUUCGAACCUGAGACAUCCGUGUCUCAAAAUAGUGAUGUUAUCACUGCGCCAAGUGAAUAGAUCAGUGAUAUAUUACUAGCGAUUCUGUAUAUAUCCGUUUAUUUUUUUUUCUUCCAGCCAAUUUUUUUUUAAAAUUUUUUUUAGGGGUAGCAUAUGCUACCCUUUAUUACUUAAUAGAUCCGCCCCUAAGGGAAAGACAUGGGUGGCUCGCUGGAGGAGGAGCGAGAUCCAAAGGUAGGAAAAGGAGGAGAGUGAUGGCUGGUGGAUCUUUUACGGUUUCAAACUAGCAGCAAUAAGGACUAAGGAGUGCAAACUUUGGAAUAUAAAAUACCAAUAAAAAAAUCAAAAAUUAUUAAAAGAGACGGUCUAAUUUUAAUAUAAAAGUAGACCUAGUCACUAAAUGGAUUAAACUAUUCACCGAAAGAAAUUAACCUAGUCACUAUUGAUAUAAGUCUCUUUUUAAUAUUAGACUUAUCAUUGCCUAAUUUUAAUUUAAAAGUAGGCGGUCUCUUACAAGACAAACUUUUUCUAUUUAGAGUUUGACUAAACCUACAUUAAAUUAGGUUUAUAAACAAAACUAUCUUAAUUUUUCUCUCUCCUACUAUCACAUGACUGAGAAAAAAACCACGAACUAGGUUCUUUUUCUUUCUCCCAAAAUUGUUACUUCUCUGUUUCCCAUCUUGAUCAAUUGGAUAGUUCAUCUCAUCUAAUUGUAGGCUUUGGCAGCAUAUGAAUAUAAAAUAUUUAGGGCAUGUUCUCCCCGGCUUAUUUUCAGUUCAGUUCAGUUCAGCUCCAAUAAGUUCAGUUCAGUUCAGCUCCAAUAAGUUCAGUUCGGUUCAGUUCAGUUCAGCUCAGUUCCAUUCUUUUAUAAUCAUUUUGUUAAAUAUUAUUAUUAUGUUGGUAUAAUUUAUUUUACUUAUUAUUAUUAUUAUUAUUAUUAUUAUUAUUAUUAUUAUUAUUAUUAUUAUUAUUAUUAUUAUCAUUAUUAUUAUUAUCAUUAUCAUUAUUAUUAUUAUUAUUAUUAUUAUUAUUAUUAUUAUCAUCAUUAUUAUUAUUAUUUAAAUAUAUAUCAUUACUAUUAAGUAUUAUUAUAUUAUUAUUGUUGUUUCUAUAUAUUAUUUUGUUUAUUAUACCUUUACUCAUUAUUAUUACUAUUAUUAUUCGGAGGAACAUGGUUUAGGUCAAAGCACAAAUAAACCCACUUUUUUUAGCCCAUAAACCAAUCAAAUCGCGUCAAGACGUUUUAUCCAACCCAAUCAUUAUUUUUAUUACUAAAUAUUUUUAUAUUAUUAAAUCUAAUUAUUAAAAUAGUAAUAUUAAUUUACUUCUUAGAUAUUAUUGUUAUUAUAUAUCAUCAUCAAGUACUAAUGUAUUAAUACAAAUAAUAUAAAGUAAUUAUUAUCAAUUAUCAUUAUUAUCAUUAAUUAUUAUUAUUAUUAUUAUUAAUUUAUGAUUAUUAAUAUUAUUUAUUUAUAACUAUCAUUUAAAAAUAUCCAAAACACUAUUAUUAUUAUUCAUUAUUAUUACUUAUCAUUAUAAUUAUUAUUUAAUAUUCAUAUUAUUAUUGUUUUAAAUAUUAGUUAUAUAUUUAUUACAUUCAAUUUAAUUCAAUUUAAUUUAAUUCAAUUCAAUUCGGUUCAGUUCAGUUCAGCUCCAAUAUGUUCAGUUAAGCUGUUUUAUGCCGAAGAGAACAUGCCCUUAGUUAAGUUUAUGACUUUUGAUUUGCAUCCGAAAAAAAUAAAAGGAAAAGAAUCAUGUUAUGGUGAUCAGCACCUCUUGCGUGUGGCCGGCCACACGCGAAAUUAUAAGUGUGGCCACGCACGACACUUUGUCAUCCCGUUAGCUCAUUUUCAAAUGGUCAUAUCUCACGCGUUUCUCAUCAAUCGAGCUUUUGACCAUGAGUUGGAAAGUUAUCGAGCCAAAUUUUCAUCUCCAAUUUGAAUCUACCCAAAAUAUUAAGUGUGUUAUGAGAUAUGCCAUUUUGAAGUUGACCCUUAUGAAAAACCCUUAUGAACAAAUAAAGUUACUUUUAUGAACAGAUGAGUUACUCUUAUGACCAAAUGGAGUUACUUGUAUAAUAUGUGGUUACUUUUAACGAUAAAAGAUUGUCACUCCUAUAAAGAAAUGUACUUACUCUUUUAAGCAAAAUAGGAUUACCCAUGUGAACAACACUAGUAGAAAUUUCUUAUUGCUGUGGUGGCAUGAUUAGAUGAGUGUACUAGCAUAAAUAAAUUGAAUUAAUGAGUUUACCAGCAUAAAUAAAUUGGCUUACUCAUCAUAUGAUUAAAUGAGUUUACUAGCAUAUAUAAAUUGGGUUAUUCCUUAUGAACGAGUGAGGUUACUCUUAUUAAUAAGUGGAGGUUACUUGUACGAAUAAUUUGGGUUACUAAUAAUAUGAAUAAAAUGAGGUUAUUUAUGUGAACAAAAUAAGGUUACUCAUAUGAUUAAAUGGGGUUACUAGUAUGAAUAAAUGGCUUACUCCUGAUGAACGAAUGAGGUCACUUGUAUUAAUAAGUGGGGGUUACUUGUAUGAACAAUUGGGGUUACUGAUGCGAAAAAAUGGGUUACUUAUGUGAACAAAAUGAGGUUACUCAUAUGAUUAAAUGGGGUUACUGGUAUGAAUAAAUAGGGUUACUCUUUAUAAACGAACGAGGUUACGAGCUCGUAUGAUUAAAUGAGGUUACUAGUAUGAUUAAACGAGGUUACUCAUAAGAUCAUAAGACAAGGUUACUCAUAAGAUUGAAUGAGGUUAAUCAUAGUAUUAAACGAGGUUACUACAACAAUAUUUUAAGGUUACUCAUAUAAUAGUUUUAAGGUUACUCAUAUGAACAAAUGAGAUUACUGGUAUGAUAUGGUAUGAAUAAAUAAGGUUACUGGUAUGAACAAAGAGGUUACUCAGAGAAAUCCACAAAUCGAAGCAAACGUUAAACUAACUUCCGUUAUAAAUCCCCAAAUUAACUUAUGCAAUUCAAUCUUCAAACUCUUUUCCCCUCAAAGAUAACAGUUUAGAAAGAGGGCAGAUAAGAUACAAGAUAGAUAUCAAAUGAAGAGUUUUUUAGAGAUUGAAAAGCAAGAGAAAAAGAGAGAGAACGAGUGAAGCUUCCUUCAAUGGAGGAGAGCGAAAAUAGAAGAAAUGAAUUGAGGAGAGAUCAAAUGUUAAAUAGUCUUAAAGAGGUCCAAGGAAAGUAACGUCGUUGUCGGCUUCAACCAUGAGAGAGAAGUGUUUGCUAUGUAAUUCACAAGAGAAUCACGCAGAUGAAGAAGUGCUAAUUUUCACCUAGGCUUAUAUAUAGGCCGGCCACACUCAAAAUUACUGGUUUAGUCGGCUGUAUAUAAGAAUUUGUGUAUGGUGAUUUGUUUUAUGUUGCGAUUUGUGCCGAGAUACAUGAGUAGCUAUGACUGUUUUGUGCGUGUCAUUAAAGAACAAGGAAAGAUUAAGUUCUGAGUUUUAUUAUAGAUUUUAAAUUCAUAUACAAUAGUGUAAAAGAUCAUACACAAAGGGAUUUUAGUUAAAGAUUUAAGUAUUAGAGUUUGGAACAAUUGUUUAAUGAAUUAUAGUGUAUACAUCAGAGAAGUUCAUAACAACAACAAGAAAAAUUCAGAUUGUAUGACGAUUCUGAAUAUGAUUUUUAGGUAUUUGAGUAGUAAUCUGAUGUGAAUUGAGUAUUAAUUAUUACUCAAUAUAUUUUCAACGUGCUCAAUUCGUAGAAGGCAAAUUUUAGUGUGUAGUUGUGUGUAAUUCACGUUUGAGAGGUACGUACUAAUACUAGGUAUUACUAGUAGUGUUAGCAGUCAUAGUUAUUAUGUUUAGUUAUCUAUUUCGGAGCAAUUCAUUCGAGAUGUGAGCAAAACUCAAAUUGGAGAAUAAUAUCGCCUUUGGGUUCCUUUAUUGGGACUAUGUUUCUAUUUUUUUUUUCUAAUUGGUCAGGGGCUCUUUUACCUAACUCAUAAUAGAAAACUUGGGUUUAGCGUUUUAAAAAGACCUAUCAAUAAAGAAUGAUGGAACUUAGAAUCAUGAUUAGGGAAGGAAAAUUGUGUGCUAUUAUGUGGUAUUACUUAUAAUACAUAUGAUGAUAUUAUUUCGACUUCUACGAAAGAAUAUGUAUUAUGCUAUUCUCCGUGAACGAGAAAUUUUUAUUAGUAGUGGACAUGUUAUUCUAUAUGUGAAAGUAUUGGGUCAGACCGUCUGACCCAAUACCUUCCGUCGGACGGGCUUAGCCCAUCAAAAACGCGCGGGCAUUUUUUUUUUCAUAUUUGUUUUGUUGAUCAACAGCUUUGUUUAUUUUUAGAAAAAACAUUUAACGGUUAUUAGGUCAUUAUCUUUUUUCGAGUUUGAAACUGUUUUUUGGAUAUCUGCUUGAUUCUCGCUAGUUUUAAAACUGAUUCUUCUUCUUUUCAAAAAAACCGAUAUAUUAUUUACUGAUUAUUUCUAGAAUUUUUCUGCUUCUCUGCUGUUGAAACUUAGCGUGUUUUUUUGUUCGUAAUUCAUUACUGUUGCAUCGCAAAUAUGGUGAAGAAAAUCAGAGAUGAUGAUUCUAGGUAUAAUUUCGUUUGAUUUUUGCUGGAAUUUUUUUUUUUGUUUUCAAAUUUUAAGCGUUUCUGUUGUUGUAAUUGUAAUGUAGCCCGAAGUCGAAGAAGGUGAAGAGUGUCGCAUCUUCAGGAAAAAUUUUGGCACUGUCUACUGCUGGGAAGAAGAAAGAGAAAGAUGGUGAUUAUGAUCCAAGGUAGAUUUCAAGUUCUUAGUGUAAUUGAGAUAUUUAUUUUGUUUUUUCUAUUUUUGGAUGUUUUCAGUUUAUUAGUGUAUUUAUUUCAUGUUUUAGGGUUUGUGUUUCAGUUUUUGUUGCUUUGUAUUAUACACAUAUGUUUUCAGUUGUUGUUGUUUUUCAGUUGAUAUUUAUAUUCUUUCAGUUGAUUAUAGUAUUCUUUCAGUUGCUACUUGUAUUCUUUUAGUUGAUGUUGUUUUUCAGUUGAUAUUUAUAUUCUUUCAGUUUAUUUCUGUAUUGUUUCAGUUGAUUCUAGUAUUGUUUCAGUUGCUUCUUAUAUUCUUUCAGUUGAUGUUGUUUUUGUUUCAUUUUGACAUUUCUACCUUUCUUUUGGUGUUUUUCAUUUGUUUUUUUUUUUACUUUUUUUUAAAAAUAAAGAUGUGUAACUGAAAAAUGAAGAAGUGUAACUGAAAAAUGAAGUAGUGUAACUGAAACAAUGUAAAUUGUAACUGAAUAUUUUUAGUCUCAUUGGAAAACAAUGAAAUAAAGAGUCAUUAUACUAAAUGAAAUAGUAAGAAGACCAACUGAAAAAUAAAGAAGUGUAACUGAAAAAUAAAGAAGUCUAACUGAAGCACUAUAUAGACUAUCUGAAAAACAAAUAAGUCUAUCUGAAGCACUAUAUAGACUAGCUGAAAAACGGAGAAGUCUAUCUGAAAAACAAAGAAGUCUAUCUGAAGCACUAUAUAGACUAGCUGAAAAACAAACAAGUCUAUCUGAAGCACUAUAUAUACUAGCUGAAAAACAAAUAAGUUUAUCUGAAGCACUAUAUAGACUAGCUGAAAAACGGAGAAGUCUAUCUGAAAAACAAACAAGUCUAUAUGAAGCACUAUAUAGACUAGCUGAAAAACGAACAAGUCUAUCUGAAGCACUAUAUAUACCAGCUGAAAAACGAACAAGUCUAUCUGAAGCACUAUAUUGACUAGCUGAAAAACAAACAUGUUUAACUGAAGCACUAUAUAAACUAGCUGAUAAAACAAAUUAAACAAGUCUAACUGAAGCAAUGUAAAUUUCCAAUGAAAAUUUUAAGUGUAAUUGGAAUAGAAUGAAAUAAAAGAAUAAUUAUACUAAAUGAAAUAAUUAGGACUAGCUGAUAAACAAACAAGUCUAAGUGAAGCACAAUAAAGAAGUUACUUUGAAGGACUGUAGAGACUAGCUGAGAGUUAAUAAGUCUAACUGAAGAGUUAAUAAGUAUAACUGAAGAGUAAAUAGUUCUAACUGAAAACUAAAUAAGUCUAACUGAAAACUAAACUAGUCUAACUGAACACUAAAUAAGUCUAACUGAAAACUAAAUAAGUCUAACUGAAAACUAUAUUAACUGAAAAUAAAAUAAGUUUAACUGAAUAAUAAACAAGUCUAACUGAGUAUUAAAUAAGUCUAACUGAAAAAGAAUUUAAUGAGUGAAAAAUAGACUUUUGUUGCAAUGUAAAUGCUAAUUUUAUACAUACUAACUGAUACAAUCGAAAUUCUAACUGAAAAUGAGUAAAUGCAAUUGAAAAUUAAUUUUAGACAUACACCUGUUUCUUUGUCUUCUUUUCCAGCUGAUUCUUCAUGUAAUUUCUUUUUUUUUUUUUUUUCUGAUGUGAUAUCUGUGUUACGGUUUUCAUUGUUUAGUUCAAUUUGUAAUGUGAGAUCUCUGUCAGUAUUCUCAUUGCUUAGACCAAUUUGUAAUGAACAUCCGAUUUGUGAAUUCGAAUCUUCGGUUGACAUUUUUGGUUGAACUAGAUUUGAGUAGUGGAAUGUUCAAAUGAGAUUUAAUUGCAGGGAGAAAGUGGAUCUGUUCGAUAUGUUUCGGUUGUUUUUGUUUUUGAACAAUGGCGGAUGAAGCGGAUGAAGGGGAUGCAAGUGUUUUUUUUGUUUUUUAUUUUUA